UACAGAGGUCUCAAGCGUUGUUCGGAUUCAUUGGGCGUAAAGGGUGCGUAGGCGGCGCGGUAAGUCGGGUGUGAAAUCUCGGAGCUUAACUCCGAAAUUGCAUUCGAUACUGCCGUGCUUGAGGACUGGAGAGGAGACUGGAAUUCAUGGUGUAGCAGUGAAAUGCGUAGAGAUCAUGAGGAAGACCAGUGGCGAAGGCGGGUCUCUGGGCAUUACCUGACGCUGAGGAGCGAAAGUGUGGGGAGCGAACAGG
rnacentral:rRNA from 1 species